CCAUUGUCACCACAUGUGUUGGCCAAAUUCUGACAAACACCAUACAGAAGAGGCUGAAUGUAUCUUCAACCCAGUUGCUGUACCAAUUAGCCCCAUUUCAGGCGGCCAUUCUUUUUGUCUCAGGUCCUUCGGUCGACCAGUUUCUGACCAAACAAAAUGUGUUUGCUUUCAAAUAUUCCCCUAUUGUCUCGGCAUUUAUCAUCCUCUCAUGCAUAAUCUCAGUAUCCGUAAACUUCAGCACAUUUCUGGUAAUUGGGAAAACAUCGCCGGUGACAUAUCA